rnacentral:rRNA from 1 species
UACGAAGGGGGGCUAGCGUUGCUCGGAAUCACUGGGCGUAAAGCGCACGUAGGCGGAUUGUUAAGUCAGGGGUGAAAUCCUGGAGCUCAACCUCAGAAUUGCCUCCGAUACUGGCAGUCUCGAGUGCGGGAGAGGUGAGUGGAAUUCCCAGUGUAGAGGUGAAAUUCGUAGAUAUUGGGAAGAACACCAGUGGCGAAGGCGGCUCACUGGCCCGUAACUGACGCUGGAGGUGACGAAGGCAGUGGGGAGCAAACAGG